CCCGGAAGCUCCCAGAAAUGAAUGUGAUGUAUAAAAGCUACAUCUUGGAAUACCCAACAGUGUUAUUCUACUUUUAUCCGUGCUUUCAACAUCACCAGUAUACUCAUUUUGCACGACAUGAAAUUCCUUGCAGUUUUCUUACUUUUUGUGGCCACCACUCGUGGUAUCCCCCUAUUUGUGUCUACUCAUCUGAUCCGAGUCCCAAGUCACGAUAGUGCAGUCAUUAAGUUUGACCGUAUGGGUGGACGCUUUGCUUACUCAACCAUCGAAGGACAUGCUUACGAGACUCUGCUGACGCCAAUCUUCCAAAAUAAAGCAUCAUCGGGGGGUUUCAUAGAAAUGAUUGCCGCCCCGAUCGUUUCCAAUAAUAACGAUCCCAAAACUGCGUACGGUUUAGAGUCUGCCACUCUUCCGAAGGAACACAGGAGUUUGCCUCUGCUGCUGAGUUAAUAUAGUAGUCCUACACUGCUCCUCUUUCUUCAACUCACCACAAUCAGCACCAGCUAUUAGUUCAUAGUGAGGAAUGGACAUCAAUAUAAAGUCAUCAGACACAUUUUUAUAUAGUUGUACGUGCUGUGUCAAAUCAUGGUAUUAUAUUUCGACAAUACAGGUGCUUGGGCCUA